GCUAGUUCCAUCUGCCUAUAUAGUCACCUAUGAUUUUUAUGGAGCAGGUCAUGGGCUGUCAAUCUCUAGGGGGCAUCAGAAAAACUACAGAAAUGGAAUAAAAAUCUCUCAUCAGGACCUUGGCCUAGGACUCCGUGGCCUUUCUGAUCUUCUAGAUGACAUGGGUUCAAGGCUUGCUUUGGAGACAAAUCACUGAGGUCCAUGGCAGGUAUAGAGUGGAGUUCAAAUCUGCUCUUUGAGAAGAGAAGCCCAGAAGAGAGUGGAUUCUUGAAGCCCCAUGGAGGGCUAGCUACAUUUUACCUGGAGACAAGAUAAUCUGAGGGGCGAAGCCAGUGAUGCAGAGCACCAAGACUCAGAAGAUGAAUAUUGUGCCUGCUUUGGCGAGACAUGGUUCAGACUCAGAAGGAGUAUGUAACGAUAAUAAAGAGAAGAUAUGAUGAUAUCAGAGAGUUCUGUAUUAUGUGCAACACAGAAUGUAAAGAAGAUGAAACAGAAAACAGACCUGAGGCUUCCAGGCUGUCCACGCCUCUGUGCUAACAAGUUAGAUGAGUACUGACUGGCAUGAAAGAGUUCUCCAUGAGGCCAUCUAAGCAAAGAAUACUGAACAGGACAAGCGUUUCUGAGCAGAAACCAGACACGACUAUCUGAUGAUUCUAAAGAG
rnacentral:lncRNA from 1 species